rnacentral:sRNA from 1 species
CCAGCAGAACCCCUCCUGCAUCCAGUUUGAUGACUCCAACUGGCAGCUGCACCUCACCUCCCUCAAACCCCUGGGCCUCAAUGUGCUGCUGAACCUGUGUGAUGCCAGCGUCACCGAGCGCCUGUGCCGAUUCUCCGACCACCUGUGCAACAUCGCCCUGCAAGAGAGCCACAGCGCCGUGCUGCCCGUCCAUGUGCCCUGGGGCCUCUGCGAGCUUGCCCGCCUCAUUGGUACGGGUCCCCAUGGCAGGGGAUGGCUGGCUGGACCCGCCUCCUAGAAGAGGCCCAGUACCAACUCCUCACGGGACUUAAUGGACCUGGCAGGGUAUUGCCGGGGCAUGGCCCUAAGUUCCUGUUCCCCGCCCUGCAGGCUUCACUCCUGGGGCCAAGGAGCUUUUCAAGCAGGAGAACCAUCUGGCGCUGUACCGCCUCCCCAGUGCCGAGACAAUGAAGGAGACAUCGCUGGGGCGGCUCUCCUGUGUCACCAAGCGGCGGCCUCCCCUCAGCCACAUGAUCAGCCUCUUCAUUAAAGACACCACCACCAGCACAGAGCAGAUGCUGUCCCAUGGCACCGCUGAUGUGGU